rnacentral:lncRNA from 1 species
AUUUAUGCGAUGAAUAAACAAAUAGGCACAGAUUAAUUUUCUCUAAAUAAUAAAAAAAAACGUUAAGCCUAUAGCCCAUGAAAAUAUCGUCUCAGCCAGGUCCAAUCAUUUCUCUCGAAAGCGCUGGUUCUGCGCAUAAAUCACUCCCCACGCACGCACUGCACGCAGGCAUGUCGAUUUACGCGAUAAAUAAACGAAUAGGCGCAGAUUAAUUUU